rnacentral:rRNA from 1 species
CACGUAGGGUGCGAGCGUUGUCCGGAAUUAUUGGGCGUAAAGAGCUCGUAGGCGGUGUGUCACGUCGGGUGUGAAAGCCCGGGGCUUAACCCCGGGUCUGCAUUCGAUACGGGCUAGCUAGAGUGUGGUAGGGGAGAUCGGAAUUCCUGGUGUAGCGGUGAAAUGCGCAGAUAUCAGGAGGAACACCGGUGGCGAAGGCGGAUCUCUGGGCCAUUACUGACGCUGAGGAGCGAAAGCGUGGGGAGCGAACAGG